rnacentral:rRNA from 1 species
AUUGAACGCUGGCGGCAGGCUUAACACAUGCAAGUCGAGCGGGGAAGUAUAGCUUGCUAUACGACCUAGCGGCGGACGGGUGAGUAAUGCUUAGGAAUCUGCCUAUUAGUGGGGGACAACAUUCCGAAAGGAAUGCUAAUACCGCAUACGCCCUACGGGGGAAAGCAGGGGAUCUUCGGACCUUGCGCUAAUAGAUGAGCCUAAGUCAGAUUAGCUAGGUGGUGGGGUAAAGGCCUACCAAGGCGACGAUCUGUAGCGGGUCUGAGAGGAUGAUCCGCCACACUGGGACGGAGACAAGGCCCAGACUCCUACGGGAGGCAGCAGUGGGGAAUAUUGGACAAUGGGCGAAAGCCUGAUCCAGCCAUGCCGCGUGUGUGAAGAAGGCCUUUUGGUUGUAAAGCACUUUAAGCGAGGAGGAGGCUACUUAGAUUAAUACUCUAGGAUAGUGGACGUUACUCGCGGAAUAAGCACCGGCUAACUCUGUGCCAGCCGCCGCCGUAAAAC